ACGUGGUAGCUCAAAACAAAGAGAAGCAGUGCUGUGGCUGAGAGAACAUUGAAGGAAGGAGGAGAAGGAGUGAGGGGUAGUACAGAUUCCCCCCCACCAGCUGGCCCCCUACUGAAGAGAAAUCUAAGGAGACCGUCAGCGCCAGGUCCACACCUCCUGAACCUUCAGCAAGCUCCAGGAUUUGGAGUUGCCUGUUUCUUGGAGUUCUAGAAGGCACUCUAGCCCUGGGAAGAGCUAUCAUUUACCUGACAGGAAGAGCUGGCAGAUUUGAACCACCCCGGAGCAGUCCUUAAGGUGACUGCACAAUUGCUGGAUUCCAGGAGGAAGCAUGAUGUCAUUCCAGCCACUGGCCAGAAACCUUCUUGCUUAAUGAGCACUUUGAGCUUGCUGGCAGCUGAGGGAGCCUUUGUUUACUGUGCUCAGAAGCCGGGGUCAAAGAUUCUCCUGGCUCUUAGGAACAAAGGCACGGGCUGGCUAAGCGACUCGUGUCUGUAAGUAUAAUGUAAGAUGGAAAAUAAUGAUAGACGGAAAAUACAGCCAGCUACCCAAAGGUUCUAUGGCCUGUGCAGUGGAUAGGAGAGAGGGACAGAGACACCAUGACUAGACAUUAAUAAUACAGUGUUUAAGCUAUCCUUUUCUGACCCCAAGUGAGGGCUGAGUUUUAGCCAAGUUUCCGACGACAGGUGUGUGCCACACUUCCAGCCCCCAGCUCUCAGAGACUUCUGCCCACCCUCCAGCAUUCCUCAGCUGUUGGAGCAGUUGCUCUUGGGUCUGAAUGGGCUCCACCUACCAGCAGCUGUUGAGCUGUGUCCUGAGGCUAGAAACAGACUUCUAGAAUACUGGUUACUAGCCGCAGAGGUCAAUACCAGCUCAGGGGCUGAUGUCAAUCCAGGGUGCAUAGCAAGUCAGAUUUGAGGCAGAAGGUGGAAUGUUGAGGAAACAAAGCAACUUCUAUUCUCCUUUUGAAAUGGUAUAUUAUCCUGAUGAUUUUUCUUUUUAAAAAAUCCUCUUUGUAUCUGGCAGUCAGUGAGCAGUGUACAGUUACAGAGUCCAACGUGAGAAGUCCCAAAGCAGACGUGGUGAAGAGUUCCUCACCAGAGCAACAUGUGAUACGCAUCCAUGAAUCACAACAAAUGAACCACUCUGGAGGGACUGCCGCUAAGGGGGGUCAUGCAAGUGCAAAUGACAAUCUUUGGACCUUCUUGAUUAUUAUGGGAACCUGAUUCUGUGCUAAAUAUAAAGCCUUUUAUUCCCCUAAAGGGCUAAUAAAAAUGUGGUGUUAACUCAGUCGAGAUUAGUGGUCCCCAGAGCUUUCUUUGGAUGCUCUGUAAUCCCUAGUGUAAGUAGCAUGGCCAGCGCUGGACACACCUCUCCCCAUCCGGGUGAUGCUGUUGAUGCAGAGCACAGCUCAUCCCAAACAGAAGAGGGACAUUUUUCCUGAGCCAAACAUGAAUUCCAUGGCCUGGAAGCACAGAUUAAGGUUGCCACAAAAGAUGUGUUCCACCGUGGAAGCAGUUACAUGAUAUUUUAUUCGUUACAAAAUACAGAAAGUCAUUAAUCAAGGAACUUAACCAGAUAUGCUGCUGGUGGUCACAGGCAGGCAGACUGCAGUGAUACAGGGACUAUGCUGUUGUCGGCUUUAGAUGCUGCCUGCGACAUUUGUAGCAUGUGGAUGGAUGGGAAUUUAGUGUCUGCUAUGAAUGCAUUUUAUUUGUAAAUAUCUAUUUAUUUUAAGAUAUAUUUUUAUGUGCAUGAGUAUUGACCUGCAUGUUUGUUUGCAUGUAUGUAUUUUAUGUGUACUACCUGCAUGCCUGGUGACCAUGGAGGACAGGAUAGGGCAUUGUGUACCCCUGGACCUGGAAUUAUAGGUGGUUAUGAGCCACAAGUGGGUGAUGGGAACAGAUCUGGGUUCCUAUGUGAGAGCAGUAAAUGUUCUAUCACUGAGCCAUCUCUCCAGCUGCACACAAAUACAUAUUAGUCUUAUACCUGAUAGUCAAAGGAUGCUAGGCUGGACAUGGGAAGGUGAUUAAUGCCAACAGAGAGAACUAGGGUAACUUGGUUUUGGAUCUGCAACUAACCCUUUUUAAAUUUUAUUUUUUAAAAUUGUAUGCAUGUGUAUUUG